AUUGAACGCUGGCGGCGUGCCUAACACAUGCAAGUCGUACGAGAAAGUCCGCUUCGGUGGAUAAGUAAAGUGGCGCACGGGUGAGUAACGCGUGGAUAAUCUACCCUUAAGUUGGGAAUAACUCAUCGAAAGGUGGGCUAAUACCGAAUGAUGCUGGGCAACUACUGUUGCACAGUCAAAGAAGGCCUCUGUUUACAAGCUUUUGCUGAAGGAUGAGUCCGCGUACCAUUAGCUAGUUGGUAGGGUAAUGGCCUACCAAGGCUACGAUGGUUAGCUGGUCUGAGAGGAUGAUCAGCCACACUGGAACUGAGACACGGUCCAGACACCUACGGGAGGCAG
rnacentral:rRNA from 1 species